AGAUGGAUUGGUGCCUUCGGGAACUCUGACACAGGUGCUGCAUGGCUGUCGUCAGCUCGUGUCGUGAGAUGUUGGGUUAAGUCCGUAACGAGCGCAACCCUUGUCCUUAGUUACCAGCACGUUAUGGUGGGCACUCUAAGGAGACUGCCGGUGCAAACCGGAGGAAGUGGGGGUGACGUCAAGUCAUCAUGGCCCUUACGGCCUGGGCUACACACGUGCUACAAUGGUCGGUACAAAGGGUUGCCAAGCCGCGAGGUGGAGCUAAUCCCAUAAAACCGAUCGUAGUCCGGAUCGCAGUCUGCAACUCGACUGCGUGAAGUCGGAAUCGCUAGUAAUCGUGAAUCAGAAUGUCACGGUGAAUACGUUCCCGGGCCUU
rnacentral:rRNA from 1 species